ensembl:lncRNA
GCCAUGUGUAGUUUGUCAGACCUGGUACCCUCCUGCAGCCAGGGGAUAGGCCUGCACCAGAUCAGAGUUGCUGCCCUCCAGGCCUCAACACUGACUCAGCGUUAAUAAGAGAGGAGUUCCAGACUCAUUGACUUCUGCAGGACAGCAUAAAGGACUCAGCCCUAGUGAAACUGUUGUCUCCAGUCUCAGCCUUUGGUUUGAGGUAAACACACAUAACAUACUUCCUUUCCCAGAUGACAUUUUGCUCUUGUGAAGGCUGUUGUACUGACAACCAGCUUUGAUCAGGAAUAAACUCUUUGUGAAGAGUGCCAAAUAUGCUGUCCUGGCAGUCUGCCCAAAGCCAGCUUUGCUGAAAUUUGCCUUAAAGAGAAGAUAUGGAAGUCUCCACACACUUAUGGCAAGUCUGUGAUGGAAACGUUCCAGACAAAGAGAUCAAGGCCUGUGCAGCAGUAGGGCGGAUGCAUGGGGAGGGAGCCCCAUGCCUGGAUGCAGGUGGCAGACUCUGGGACCAGACUUAUAGGAGCAGCUGGAGGCUGAAAAAAGUACGGCAUCUGGCACCCUGUGGCAGACCCCAAACAGAUGAGGCAAUGCAUUUCCACAAGACAUUGGAGGCACCAGUGCUGCUCCGCUCGGCAGAGGCCCAUCCUUUCAUGGCUGGCAGGAAUGACAAAAGAAGUGAGGAGUCCUUCCCCUUGUGAACACCAGGAGGUGGCGGCUGCUGAGAGGAAAGCCCAUUCAUGAUACUGAACCUGCUUCAGUAACUGAUACACGGGAUACUGAACCUGCUUCCACUGCUGUUCCACCUUCAUGACGUCAGCCCUGGGUCUGCCACGUUCUUCACCAAUGAAGCACAUCCUUACUGUGGUCCAAUGAAGCACAUCCUUACUGUGGUCCUGGAGGGAAGAGGGGUGUCCUGGUGGGGUGGACUCCACUCAGGGCCCUGCCACACACCUGCACCCCAGGCAGUAGCCCUGGGCACAGCUGGCGGAGCCGCUCACACCCCUGGCCACCAGCCAGGCCUUCACCACCAGCAGCACAAAGCACUUCAGAGUCUUCACAGUUUGUAGUCACAUAACUAAUACAAAUUUACUGCUUAAUUACGUCCCAGUGAGAGAGCCUUUCUCUCCACAGAAAAUAUUAUUGAUAUCCGACAGGGCUAGUGCUGGAGGGAGGGCAGAGAGGGCAGUGGAAAUCUGCACUCCAUAAGAAAUUCUUGGAACAGGUCUUUUUUUUUACCCUCUUCUGUUUUAAGUGAUCAAUAGUUGCUUAAUUAAAAUUCAGCAACUGUAAUGCAAGUUUAAAUACAAGGUAACAAUUGUCAAUUAAUUAACAGCCACUUGAUUCAAAGCAUUUGAAGGCUGGUAACUUUGCAACUAAUUUUAUGUUUCGUAAUUCCUGUUCUCCAAUAUUGUUUGCAAAAACCAAUUGACACUUAAUUAACCUUAUGCCGUUGUCCCAUUAAAUCAAAACAAAAAGUACUUAGGACAUUCAAUUCAAUCUUUUAACAACCCUGUUAAGCGAAAUAGCCAAAGCCCCAACCACAUCUUCUUAAUGAAAUUUCUUGAAGGCACAUUCUGUCCCCAGCUUCUGGUAAAAUGGAGAUGAGUCAGAUAUCUCCUAAGGGAAAGAGAAGGGCACUGUUGCCUCAUGAAGCAGUUCCUGUACAGUUUGAAGAGUUGUUGGUUGUAUGCUGGAGAUCUUGUUGCCAUGAUCUCUACAGAGCGGAACAACACUCUCCCCUUCUGCUGUUGCAAAAAGUAAACGAAAUGAAAAAAGAAAUCACAAUGGGGCAUCUUACUGUCUUACUCUCUGUACUGAAGAGCAAAACCAAACAUUGUCAGCCACCAGAUUCUACCUUUAAAGCUAUAAACAAAUCAAUCAAUCUGCAAUCCACUAGAUAAUGGGAAUAAGAAGCCAUGACCAUGGCAAGGGCAUCACAGCCAAGACUGUCUCACUUACAGGACACUGAAACAACAAAUUAAAUAGAUCUCUGCAACACAAAAUGUAAGCAGGCAAAUGUAACGUAAUUCAAGUUAAGGGUAAUAAAAGAUGCUGCAUCUCAGGCGUGAUCCCAGCACAUGAGAUCUGGCAGCCAUCUGACCUCACAUUUACAUUUGUCUGCUAAAGUAAAUGAUGGAAAAUUUGAGGUGGUCAUGAGGACCAUGACUGAGCUGCUGGUCUGGAGAUAGCCUGCACGGUACAUUUCACACCUCUCGCUUUCACUGUGGCCUGGACAGCAGUCCCACCAGGCUCAUCUAAAGGAUGAACAAACCUUCUGCCAAACCAGUUCAAAUUUACCCCAUGAGGGGUUCAUGACCACUCACUGACCCCUGCAUGGCUGCACACCAGCUCUUCAGCAUGACCCAAUUUCUCUACAGGGAAACUCCUAUUUCUGCACCACGCUUCCUUCCUAUGAGCCAUGGUCACUGAGGUCAGAGAAGGACGUCACCUCCCUUCAGUGUUGAGGGAAACAGCUCCCAUUUCACUUCAAGCUGAGGCUGACUUAGGGACAGAUUUUAGCCUUGGGUCUCUCUCCGCCUCUUCUUCCCAUUUAUUUUGACCUUCUGGUCAAAUGGUGGGAUGCAGCUAGGUUCCACGUAGGAGAAAGCUGCCAGUGCACCCACGCAUGAAAGACUCUGGGAAUGCAGAGGACCAUGUAGCAAGUAGUAAGCCUCAUUACAGAGGUGCACGUAUCUCCAUGGUUUCAUUCAUAUAAAGUCUAAGAGGAUAUCUGGAGGCAUUUAUUUCAGUGGAGAGAACAAGGUGAGCUCAAAAGGCAUUCCUGAAAAUAACAUCUAAUUGUAUUUUUCAACUCAUUUGAUCAUCUCAGCAUGAGUGGCUGAGACUGGGGUAGGUUUGGAUUAACUGACCCAAAUCUUUUUCUCUGUGCUGCAUUUUGUAUUUUAAGCGUGUAUUAAGGAAUCAUCAUUAGCCAAGGUUUAGGCAGUACAUGUGAUCUAAUUCUUAACAAAUCUGAGUACACCUUAAAUAACAAUGACUAAGACAUCCUUCCCAAGUUCUAUUUCCACUCAUCUAUAAAGUAAGUAUAAACACUGUCUGUCUGUCUGUCUGUCUGUCUCUCAAGGAAGAAAAAACGUAAGUGUCUUUCUUUCAUUUUUACAUUUUGGAUGAUAUCUCAGUCCCUAUUGAUUGUUAUUGUUAUUCUUCCUUAUUAUUUCAGGCUUGUCAUGCUUUGCUUAGACACAUAUUUGAUAGUCUCUCUUUUCAAGGGUAUACAUAUGAUUACAAGUUUAUUUUCACAAAAUAUAUGGAGUGGUUAUCUCUACUAAAUACCAAAACAGCAUUCAAUCAGGAGAAUUAAGCCUGUGAAAGAGAUGUUAAGCCAAUGUCAAAGAUCUUCUAGGAAGACAGAAAUUCUAUGCAAUAACAACAUGGUUGGAUUAACUUUACAACAAAAGGAAAUUAGACUGGAUUUCUACAGAGUCAGUUUUGUUAUUCUAGCUAACAAUAUGAUUAACAUUGAAUGAAUGGUAAAGGCCCCAUUCAUGCUUCACUUAGCCCAAAUUAAUGUGACUGAUUACCCAGUCCUUCUGCUCUGGCAGAAAAUCUCACAUCUCCUAGGCCUUGAUUAUCCAGAGCGUCUCACUUUUAAGAGGACUGACCCCAGCAAGAAGGAAACAGUAGCUGAAGUCUUUGAAGCUUUUGCACUUCAUUGCCUUUCCUCUCAACAACCAGCUCCAAAUUCUUCCUUACGGGUGUAAAAGUCUAUGGCCCCUGUUAGUGAAGAAGAUCCAACCAGACUCUCUCACAGGCACACAGGUGUUAUUACAAUAAUUCCAGGAACUGUUCCUUCGUCAAGGUUGUUCAUUUUGUUGUUAAAUGAUUCCCACACUCCAUGUUGCCAAUUACCAGACCAUCCUAGAUGGACAGUAGGUCUGUGCUUGAGAUUAGCUGCCUGCCUUCCCAAAGGAGUUUGCCUGAAUCCCCCCAAGAGCUGUAAAUUAAGCUGCUGAGGAGUAACCCCUUUCUGCCAAGCACCUGAGGAACCUGAGAAGACCAUAUGGGCUGUGAAAAUGACAAUAUGCAAAUCAAGUGCUGUUUGUGUUCACUGUGAGAAAACAGGUCGGUGCAAACUGACACCAAUUUUAGCGUGAUGAAGGCUGCAGGAAAAAUGCAAGACAUACAUUUACCCUGAGAGGCAGGAGACCAGGUGGAGGUAGAUAAUCCCCCAUUCCUCCCACUCCCUCUGCCCCUUUAUAUCACUGAUGCUCUCUCAUUGGGGACAAAACAUAAUCAACAUGGAGAUCUUUGAAUUUUUCUUCUCUUCAUUCUCCCCUAGGUACACUACAGAUCUGGUAGCGUUUGAAAUCAACACCCACCCCAACCAAAAGAAAUCUUUAGCUACAUUUAUGGAACUUAUGGAACUUGCUGGUAAACUGAAUUCUUUAUGCUGUAACACACCUGUUUUGUUUCAUGGCUGAUUCACAAAAAAGAUGCUACAUACACAGUUACACUGCACUGCCAAGGUGCUCACCAGGGUGUUGGCAUGGACCAGUGGGGAUCUUAUUGACCACGCAUCAGCUUCUGUCUCUUUAGCCAUCAAAAUACUGACCAUGCUCUCUUAAAUGUCAGUUUUAUUCAUUUAUGGUGAAUGAAGCUGCUGGCACAUAAAAUAGCAGUUAACAUCUUAGUUUUAAUAUAACUUAGAAGUAUGCAAUACUUACUACUUGCUAUAACUUACCUUGAAGUAGGCUUUUUAAAAUGUGGAUUCAAAGCACUUGAUUUAUUAUUUUUAUUUAUUUAUUUAUUACAACUGCCUCUAAUCUACCAAAGCACCGAGAGCACCAAAUCUCUUGCUCGACCGAGGGCAAAUAAGCCCUGGGCUCCAUUCCUAUAAGCCCUACGUACCUAUAUGGAUAAAUGAAAGUCAGCACAUAAACUCUGGCAGGAUUGCCAAUGCCACGUUGAGGGCAAAGCAAGAGAGGUGGCUGACCCAAGCAACACCUGAAGGGUAGCAAAUGGAAACAUAUGCACUGAGUCAAACAAGCUGCAGCUUACCUGGCUGCCAGUACUGCCCGGCAAGGUACUGGGAUGGGAGCACUGGAGAUACCACUUGAGAGCCAGGGGAAGACACUGAUGGUCCGCAGGUGGAAGACAAAUAGAGCAGGACUGAUAGCCAGAGUGAAAACUGAACACAGCUAAGGAAGUCCCAGUGUUGUCAUGUUACUUCCAUUUUUAAAGGCAUGUGAGGUGGUUGAAUGCCCUACUUAGUACAAGGGGGUUUGAGGUUUGACGAUACCACUGGUAAAGCAAAGGCAGCAACUGUUUACAGUGGACUUGCCCCAGAAGAGUCAUUGAAGGAAAUGGUUCAGAUUGGUCAUUAGGCAAAUUGCUUCUAAUAUAGUUCUAAACACUGUAAACUAGGCAAAUCUGAACUGUUGUGUUACUUCAGGUGGACAAAAUCCAAGAGUAUUCUCACAGUGAAGCUAAAUAUAAAAUCAGUUAUCACUGGCUGUGAAACACCUACACAUCUUGGAGGCUUCUGAUCUUUUAGAAUGGUCAUGGGAGCUUUUCUUUGCAACAUGCCUGAUAAUUACUUAAAUAAUCUGGCUGAGGCCAUAAGGCUGAACACUAGCAUGUACUGUGGACCAUUUGACUCAGAAAAGAAGUUCUAUUCCUUCACUGGUCACUGGUUUGAUCACUGGAAACCACUGUUUUGGUUUGUUUUCACCAACUCAUGUCAGAAGCACAAAAGGAAUUAGUGAAUGAGUUCUCUAAAUUGCACACAGUCACCAAUACCAGGAGCUGCUCAUGAGAGCGUGGGAGUUCCCAAGAGGUCCUUCUGGCAUCUGCAGGGCAUAUGCAUCUGGCAACAAGAACUAAACCAAAUUCCUCUCCCCAAGUAUUCUAAGAUCAACAAGAGAAGGAUGGGUACACAUCCUAAUGUUCUUCCUGGCAAGACUCUACUGUAGCUUAAUUUUUUCUUGCCAUCAUGUAGAUUAUUUCUGCAAAGGAAAACAAGAAAGAAAGGAAAAAUAAAAGGUUUCUCCAAGGAAAUGCAUGUAAUUUUCAUAGCAGAAUAAGUCCUUGAGUCAUGCAAAGGACAUCAUUGUGCAAAUGCUAAAGCAGCGUGAGCAUAUUUGCCGGCCCUACAAGCUAAAAGGUUUCAUAUCUCAACGUUUAUGUGCAUUUUAAAAGGUAAAAAUAUGAGUUCUUACAGAAACAAACAUUUGUAAUUACAUUUGUAUACAUAUAAAGUAAGUGUUGCUCUUGGCUGGAAAAGAUAAAGGCUUGUAUGUUAAAUUGAAAAGCCCUAUAGCGCAGGAUAUAUUUCCAGAAUGAAAAAGAAAAUUUCAUUCCAUUAGAGUGUAUUGUCAUAGUUUGUCCUUAGUUAAAAAAAAAAGAAGAAUGGACAAAACCCACUGUUAAUUCUAAAGAUUUCUUAUUGGAACAAAUAAAUGCAGUCUGAGCAAGAACUGAGAAGAGAAAUUUGAUUGGAACCUGUUUGCUGUUCUACCUUUGUUUGCUGUUUUGUUGUUGUUGCUUUUCUGUUUGGCAAUUCACUACCAGAUAAUUCAUCUAUAGGUUUAACUAUGUGCACAAAAUGUUGGGUAGAGCUGAAUGAAUUUAUGCUUUUUAUAACCACCUUUUCAUCCAAAACAAGGCAUCAUGAAACCACUAGUGUGGUACACCACUGUUUUGAAGCUGAAGCUGGAAGUCAGUGAGAUAGCUAUCCACCUUCCUGACAAAUAGUACAUUGUUAUUAUGAGCAUUUAUAGAAAUGGGACAACAGUAAUAUGGCACUUGAACACCAAAACAGUGGACAUGGAGGGAUGAUUUUCUAACAGAAUAUCAGUGAAGGAUUUGGGUUUAGGAACUUAACUCGUGACAAGAUAAAUAUUAUGUCAGAACCCAGGACAGAUUGUAUACAGAAUUGACUUCAUAACAAGACACACCUCUACAAUCACUGUUGUUGAUCAAACGUUACACAUAUGCAUAUGUAUACCCCAUAUGUACAUACAGUAAAUGCCCAGGGCAUUAUAAACAUUUUUCUUCUAACCCCGUUGUGUCUCCCUGCGUGUUUUCCACGCUGGCCG